rnacentral:rRNA from 1 species
GAUUUCUGGCGAACCGUUGCGGCCGUGCUCAUUUUGGGCGUGUGUGCCGUGUCGUGUUUGUCAUCCUUCCAGAAAGCUGCGUCUACCAUUCACUUGGCCGGACGUUUAAAGCAGGCUUAUGCUGUGAAUACAUUAGCAUGGAAUAAUAAUUUAGGACUUCGGUUCUAUUUUGUUGGUUUCUAGGACUGAAGUAAUGAUUGAUAGGGACAGUUGGGGGUGCUAGUAUUCCGCGGCCAGAGGUGAAAUUCUUGGAUUCGCGGAAGACUAACUACUGCGAAAGCAUU